CGCUCCUGUAUGUUACCCUGCGCCACUGAGCAGUUUGUAUAGGAAUGAAUUGGCGGCCACUUUCCAGUCCGUGGUCGAUCCUUUAUUAUGUCCAUGAUUGUAACGCGUUACCGGACUCAGUAACUGUAAUAAUAUUAGCGAAAUAUAGUUAGUAACUCGUUAUAUUACUCCGUUACUGACUAAAUGUAAUAUAUUACGGUAACGCGUUACUUUUGUAACGCGUUACGCCCAACACUGGUGGCAGGUGAUCCAGUGGCAGGUGAUCCAGUGGCGGGUGAUCCAGGGAUUUGUGUGCCGAGGGCCAGUCAGCCAGGGGUCAACAGUGAAGGAAUAACUUUUGCCAGGGCCAGCUGCUCCAGGGACCAGACUGCCAGGGACUGAUGGGGCGACUGUGGAGGACCUAAUAAGGCAACUAGAAAAGGAAAAAUUAAUGAGAAGGAGAGCAGAGGGCUAUUGCAAAACAAAAAAGAAUCAAUUUGGCACUAAGAAAGAGAAUCAAUUUGGCACUAAGAAAGAGAAACAAUUCAGCCAACAAGAAGUUAAAACGAAAAAGCCAUACAGGUUAAAACGACCGCCCAUCAUAAUCAGCAUUGUUGAAUCGGCGGCAUCUGUAGGGCUUCAUGUGCUGAACAUCAUCCUUUCCAGGAUAUAAUUAAACACACACUGUUAUUUCUACAAGCUAUCGCAUCAUAAAACCCGUCCUUAAAUCAACCUAAAUUAUCCUAGUAAUCCAACAUAAAUAACUAACUAAAUAAAAGUUAGAUUCACUAGUACUGAACUUUGUAAUUGUUGGUGUAGAUACCAUCACAUGGUGCAGUCGAGCUAACAAACUAGCAGGCAAUCGGUCGUCUACCAAGAUAAAUAUAUAUAUAAUUACGCUGUGCAUUUACAAAUAAAGAUCAAUAUAUGCAUCAUAAAGGGCCUCUGAUACAAUAUAGACAGUUGACAAUUCAAAAGAGGUAGCUAGCUAUUUAAUCAAUUUACCUCAGAAGUUACACGGCGGCCAGCAAUGGAAAUGAACGGUCUCCUACGCCGUAUAAUGGUUGUUUGGAACUAUUCGAGGCUCCAUACCCCGGAAGUAGGCGCUACAACGGAGUCCAAUGGAAGUGUCGCAGCUCUGGUCCUGCCCCCAGGAACGUUUUUUUUUUCCCUUUGGUUUCAGACCUUUGACUGUCAGGAUUUUCAAAACGAAUGCGCGACAGAACACUGCCAAUAAUCACGUGACUCAAAGCUUGCGCCAGUGUGGUCAAAUCUCAGAAAAGUCAUUGCUGAAAAGUCAGCAAUGACUUUUUGAAAGGUUUUAAAAAAGGUUUUUAAAAAUAAAUAUUCAACCUUUCAAAACUUAUUUCUCAAUGUAUGAACACCUGUUUGCAGAAUCCCAUUUACAAGGUUUCAAAACCGGGAAACAAUGAAAUACACUGUUAGAACAGUGUCAGAUUUGAAACUCUGCAAAUGCGCUGGGGAAAUUUUUGAAUCUUUAAAAAUGUGUUUGUGAAAAUGAUGAAGAUAAAAUGGAACACAAAAUCAUGUUUGCAGAUGUUUGAAUUUUUUUUUCAGUGUUGCAAAACCUUUUUUACAAGGUGUUGAGUUUUCAAACCCAGAUGUACAUUUACAAGCCUUUGGAUUUUUUUUUUUUCAGGAUUGAAUUAUGGCAGGAAACUGGCUCCAUAGAGCACAGCCUGAACACACCGCUAGGGGGAGCCCUGGUUCACAGAUACUGGUCCACUGACCGAUACUGGUACACACUGACCAGAUGCCUCCCACGAUCCCGAUUGGUGGCCGAUAUCAAUAAAGACUCUCUUAAUUAAUGAAUAUUUAACAUUAAUAUUAUCAUUAUUACUUUUAUUAUGCAUUAUUAUUAUGCAUUAUUAUU
ensembl:lncRNA